AAAUCAGGUAGGAGUACCCGCUGAACUUAAGCAUAUCAAUAAGCGGAGGAAAAGAAACCAACCGGAUUGCCUUAGUAACGGCGAGUGAAGCGGCAAAAGCUCAAAUUUGAAAUCUGGUACCUUCGGUGCCCGAGUUGUAAUUUGGAGAGGGCAACUUUGGGGCCGUUCCUUGUCUAUGUUCCUUGGAACAGGACGUCAUAGAGGGUGAGAAUCCCGUGUGGCGAGGAGUGCGGUUCUUUGUAGAGUGCCUUCGAAGAGUCGAGUUGUUUGGGAAUGCAGCUCUAAGUGGGUGGUAAAUUCCAUCUAAAGCUAAAUAUUGGCGAGAGACCGAUAGCGAACAAGUACAGUGAUGGAAAGAUGAAAAGAACUUUGAAAAGAGAGUGAAAAAGUACGUGAAAUUGUUGAAAGGGAAGGGCAUUUGAUCAGACAUGGUGUUUUGUGCCCUCUGCUCCUUGUGGGUAGGGGAAUCUCGCAUUUCACUGGGCCAGCAUCAGUUUUGGUGGCAGGAUAAAUCCAUAGGAAUGUAGCUUGCCUCGGUAAGUAUUAUAGCCUGUGGGAAUACUGCCAG
rnacentral:rRNA from 1 species